rnacentral:rRNA from 1 species
UACAGAGGUCUCAAGCGUUGUUCGGAUUCAUUGGGCGUAAAGGGUGCGUAGGCGGCGCGGUAAGUCGGGUGUGAAAUCUCGGAGCUUAUCUCCGAAACUGCAUUCGAUACUGCCGUGCUUGAGGACUGGAGAGGAGACUGGAAUUUACGGUGUAGCGGUGAAAUGCGCAGAUAUCGGGAGGAACACCGGUGGCGAAGGCGGUUCUCUGGACAGUUCCUGACGCUGAGGCACGAAGGUCAGGGGAGCAAACGGG